rnacentral:tRNA from 1 species
GCCUCCGUAGCUCAGUCGGUAGAGCGACUGACUGUUAAUCAGUAGGUCCGCAGUUCGAGUCUGCGCGGAGGCG